UCUUCUACUUGUCUUAGCUGGGUAUUGCAGUGUCUUCUGUGUCUUAUGUUGUGCAAGUCUGAGCCUAGAGUAGCGUCGAUAUGGAUCCCAAAAUCGAUGCUUCCUCUUGCUCCAAAGACCUCAUAUAAACAAUCCAUAGCACUCCAUUUAUCGAACCAAAAAGGAAGUGCCAUAAUUGUUUCCCACUUCGAUUUUGUAUAAGUCCUUUGCCUGUGCUCUAUACUUGAGAAUCUUUUUCCAGAUCCAUGAUCCCAUUGUCGUGGUUUCACUGACGCGCCCGAGAGAACCAUGCUGAAUCAAAUACCACUAAACCCAGUUUACCCAUAAGGAGUCUUUUGCAAAGAGAAUUCUCCAUAUGAGCUUCAUGAUGCAGACUUAAUUGACCGAGUUUAAGUCCUUGAUCCCUAAGCCCCCUUCGUCUUUUGGGGAACAAACCUUCUUCCAAGAGACUUUUGCUUUCUUCGCGUUUAGAUCUUUGCCAGACCAGAGAAAUGAUGCACAGAUUCUAUCAAUCUCCUUGAUGCAGGCUUUUGGUAAGCGAAAGGCCAUCAUCCAGAAGUUUGUUAUACUGAAGAUUACAGAGUUCAGGAGUUGUAAUCGACCCCAAAAGGAUAAAGCUCAAAAUGUCCAGGAUCCAAUCUUGUUUUUAAUCUUCUCUAGCAACGGUAAGUAGUCAGCUUUGGUCAUUCUCCGAGACAAUAGAGGCAGACCUAAGUACCUAACUGGUAAAUUCCCUGAAGCAAAAGGAAAUUCCCGAAGAAUAUCCUCACGAGUAUCCUCUGUAAUCCCUGCUAUAUGCAUAGUAGAUUUCUCUAUACUGAUAUAUAAACCAGAGUGUAUUGCAAAGUCCUCAUGUACCUCAAGAGAUACCUCUAUGGAUCUUUUGUUUCCUUCUACAAAGAUUAUUAAGUCAUCUGCAAAACAAAGAUGUGUCAGAGACAUGUCUUUGCACAUAGGAUGAUAGCCGAUUUUGUUUUCUGCAGCUACCUUUUUAAGCUUUUGAGACAAGAUGUUCAUACAGACCACAAACAGAUAUGGAGAUCAAGCACAGCCUUGUCUUAAUCCCCGUGAACUUCCAAAGUACCCUGCUAAUUCACCAUUGAUUUGCACUGAGAAGGACGCAGAUGAUAUACACAGCCGAAUCCAAUGGAUAUACUCAUCUGGGAAAGCCAUUGCUUUCAAAGUGUUCAACAAAAACUCCCAUUGUACUGAAUCAAAAGCUUUGGCUAUGUCAAUCUUCAUUGCACAUCUAGCUGAGAUAUUUUCUUUGUGGUAAUCCUUGACUAAUUCAGUGGCUAGAAGAACAUUUUCCAUAAGCAAUCUAUUUUUUACGAAGGCCGAUUGAUUUGGUAAAAUGAACCUUGGAAGAAUGAUCUUUAGCCUAUUAGCCAGGAUUUUUGAAAUGAUUUUGUAGAGGACAUUACAGCAGGAGAUGGGUCUGUAGUCUCUCAUGGUUGUAAUUCUUUCUUUUUUGGAAUCAAUGCCAAAAUAUUUAAGCUCACUCCUUUGGGUAGGAGCCCCUGUUUAAAGAAAGAUUGGACUGCAAUAGUGAUGUCUCGUCCAAGUAUCUACUAUGUUUCUUUAUAGAACUCUGUAGUGUAACCAUCAGGACCUGGUGUUUUUUCUUUUGGCAUUGAGAAGAGAACACGCCUGAUCUCUUCCUCACAAACCACAUGAGUUAGAAGCUCCUUAUCAGCAUCAGUGCAUUGGUAAUCUGUAAUGUCCUGCAGUUCUUCAACCAUCCAACUAGAAAAUCUCUCUGGUUGUUCAUUUAGAAAACCACUAAAAUACUUAAUCGCUUCCUCUUUUAUGUCCUCUGCACUUAUUUUAAUAGAUCCAUCAGAACCUUGAACUUCUCCAAUGUGGUUCCUCAGAGCUCUGGCUUUUAUUGCAUUGAAGAACACUCGAGUGUUUUGAUCCCCAGCUUUUAACCAGGCCAGCUUUGCCUUUUGCCUCAAGUAUUUCUCCUCCGCACUAGCAAGUCGUUUGCAUAGUAAUCUCGUGCAGCUCACAGAGUCUGCAAUAAGCGUCCCUGGUUCGUUUUGUGAUAUUGCUGAGCAUAUCCUUCUCCAUAGCUCGAAUGGGGUUUUUGAGAGACUUUAACUUCUUUGAGAGUCUGUAGAGAGACGAAGUUGAAUGGAAGAGAGGUUGAGUUCUGCUCCAUAUAGUUUGGGUCUGCUCCAUAUAGUUUGGGUCUGCUCCAUAAACACCGGAUAUUGGACUAGAGCAUUAGUGAAUUUGAAGGGCCUCUUUUCUCUUGAUUCUCUUUCUUUAAGAUGUAUGCGGCAUCUAAGGUGGUCUGAACAGCCACCAGCCCCAAACACACAAUAUGACUUUGCAUUCUUUGUGAUCCAAUCACCAUUUACUAAGACUCUGUCCAAUAAUUUCUUACUGAUCAAUCCCGAUGUCCGUUUGUUAGUCCAAGUAAAUUUAGGACCGUGAUAACUUAGAUCCAGCAGUUCACAAUAUCCCACUGCUUCUUGGAAGUAUCUCAUUCCUAGAGGCACGGUGGGAUUAUCUUCAAACGCAGAAUGUUCUUAUCCCUCCAAGAUUUCGUUAAAGUCUCUGCAUAUGAUCCAGGGUUUGCCUCUGAACAAGCCUGAGUCGUGGUGAUUUUUCAUAUCUUAAUUUCCACAACAAUUUUCUGUCUUCCACUGUAUUUGAAGCAUAAAAAAAUGUGACCAGAUAAAGCUCAUCACUAUUCUCUUUCAUUACCGAACAAGAAAUCAUCUGUGCAGACUUGUAUACGGGCGUGACACGCACAUUCUGUCUCCAUAAAACCCACAACCUCCCGAGCAUGUGAUGCUCGUAGUUUCCCAUCCAGUACCAAUCUCUAAACACCUCUGAAACUACUUUAUUUGCAUGUCUUUCCUUCACCUUCGUUUCUAGUAAGCAACCGAAAUCAAAACCGCUCCGAUCAACCCAAUCCUUUACAACUUGAUGUUUACUGCGUUUAUUGAAGCCUCUAAUAUUUCAGAAAAAUCCAGACAUUAAAGUUUUUUGCGAGGGGGACCAGACUUCUGAUUGCCUUGGGGGUUAGCCAAGACAUUCUUAGUUUGGUUUGUAAACGUUUUCUUCUGAGCUAAUCUUUGGGACUGUCUCUUGUUCUGUUCCAAGCUAUUAUCAGAUUCAGACUUGUUUUGUUGUUGAGGUGCAGCAGAAUCCUGCGCUACAUCAGUUACCGUUUUAUUUUCCGUGAUCUCAUCCUGCUUUUCCACUUGCAUUACUGCGUCCUUUGCAAUGGGAAUAUCAUUUGCUAAGACCUCUUCUCUAAUCUCAUCACUGUUAACCUCUUCGUCCUCAUCUCCAUUUUUUUGUAAUGCCAUAAACCGCGAGUUAGCAAGGAUGCUCACCUCUCCAUAAGCCGUGUCUUUGGUAACUUUGUUUGGUGAUUGUAUCGUUUUAGUGGGUGUAGUCCAUUCCCCUUCUUUGAUCUCUUUAGGGGAAUUUUCGGGGAUUUCAACUACGUUACUCAUAACUUCCUGUUGCAUCUGUUUGUCCUUUGUUCCUCUCAGUAUUGAAGUUACCUGAGUUUGAGCUGCUUUUGGACUAGGUGGAUCACUCUGUUUUUGUACUUUCUCAAAACACAUUCAGUAUAUUUUUGCCCCCAUUUUUCACAGUUAGCACACUUUGCAGGCAACCAAGGAUACUCGUAGAAGAUCUGAACACAGUUCCCAUCCUCCACCUCGAAAGUGUAUGAUUUUGGCAGCGAUUUUGUGAGAUCCACUUCAACGAAAACACGAGCUUCUUCAAAGCUUUUGCAGAGCUCGGUAUCGGGAUGAAGGUGCUUUGGCUCACCAAUCGGACUUGUCAGGAAAGAGAGUCCCUUCCACGCAAACAUUGAUCUGGGAACUUUCUUUACCACCACCCAGAGAGGAAUGAAUUUCAAUUUUGGCUGCAUCUUUUCUGUGAUUGGACUCCAUUUCGAUAUGAUCACCGGCACAUCGCAUAAGUUCCACAUACGUCGUUUAAGUACUCUGUUUCUCACUGUUGCGUCUCUGAUCCAAAAUUUCAUCGUAGUUUUUUCGAUCACGUUAACAUCAAUCCGCACUGUUUGUCUGAAAAUGGCCAGAUUUUGUUAACCAAGACAUGUAUUUUUCCUACAUAUGGUGCCAUGUCUAGAAACUUCCCCACCAAGAGAUCUUCCCAAAGUGGUGGAGAGUCCUUCAAAACAUCGGUUGGGACUUUAAUGGUGUCUACUCCAUUAACAUCCACCACUGUAAAUUCAUAUUUCUGCAUCACUUGUCUGUUCUGGACAGCCGCCAACCAAGCUCUACCUUUCGCCGGCGAAACUGUUUCCUUUACCUCACUCUGAAUCUGUGAACUCUCUUCGACACUAGCUAGUUUUUCCCCCUCCUCCACUCGUUUCGGUUCCACACCUACCACUGCUUGCUUGUUACUCACUUCCAGAUUAUCCUUCUGAGUCGAACCCUUGUCACGCCCUGGUGGAGAGGCCGGCGGAGGCAACUUCGUGUUGGAGAAGCAAAGAAACCCUAAUCGCCCUGAAUAUCGCCCUCUUACCAAUACUCACCGUUUUAAAAUCAAGACCACAUUGUUGCUUCGGGAAAAUCAAACUUCGACUUGUAUUUCUUAUGUAUUUGGGAUUCAGACUUGUGCUACGUAUAUUGGAUUGAGAUUUAGUCUUGUGUUAUGUAUGUUGGAUUGGAAUUCAGACUUAUGUCAUGAUUUAUACAAUUUCUAUUUCAAAUGAUUCUCGUUAACAUGAUGCAAAGCAGAGUUCUUGAAUUAUAACAAUAGGUAACUGUCUGAAAACAUAUAUAAUAGCAAACACAAAACCGUUAUAAUCUUAUAUCAUAGCGACGAAAAUUAGUUAUGAAUUACUGUAUUACAGCAUUUGACAACACUAAAACUAAAUUAAGUAUAACAAUAAUAUAUACUUAUUGUACAAAUAUCUGUUAUAGCCCGAAACAUGACUUGUUAAAUAGUGUAUUACAGUAUAAUAAAACGCUAUAAAGAAAUAAAUUAUAGCUAUAUAGAAUUGCAGUCAUAGAUGGACCUAUCAUAGCUAGAAUUAUAAUUCAUCAUUAAAUUUAUACAAAAAAUAGAGGUGCUAUAACAAAAUCAAUAAAAGCAUUCAAAUAUUGUUACGGUAUCACAACAUAUCAUAUUCUUCCUGUUCUCUAUUCUCUAUUCUCUCUUGUCUGUUUUACUCUUCCACACUACAAGAAAUAUCUACACUCUUAGCACGAUAUAUAUAUAUAUAUAUAUAUAGUAGAGUGAAGCAGGUACAUAUAUCAACAGAUACUGAAAAAAUUAAUUUUAUAGCAUUGGUAAAUUAAUAAUUAGGUAACUAACACAGAGAAUUGUUUGUUUUAUCUAUUAUUAUCCUUCUCAUUUUGCUUAUUUACACAAAUUGCUAUUGAUUUUUUUUUUUACACAUGACAUUUUUAUAGAUACUGUUCAGCAUCGUCAACACUAUUCAUCUAAGACGAAGAUAUUAUUUGUUAUUGGAUAACUAUUCAGUUAACAUAAAUGAUUAAAAAGUUAUUAAAAAUAAUAGUAAAAAGAAGGGCGUCUACAUAAAAAUAUCAUACAUGCUUUUUUAAAUUAAAAAAAGUUAGAAUCAAUAAUAUAUAUAACAAAAAAAUUCAAAAUAUAAAAUUAAGAAAAUUAACAAAUAUUAUAUUAGUAAGAUUUACAAGAAUAAAAAAUAUGAGAAUCGAAUAACAAAUAAAUAUUUAUCUCUGAUAUUCAACGUAUAUUUUUAAGUGAACGAGUACGUUUUUAUACAAAAAUUAAAAUAGUAUUUUUUAAUUUUUUAUUAUCUUGUAAGAAAAAUUAUACUAUUUAGCACAAUUAGGUGUAAAAGAAAUUAAAAAUAAUAUAUCAUAAAAAAAACGAAGAAAAUAUAAUAUUUUAAACACAAACAUUAAUUAUAAACAUAAAAUUCAAUACAAAUUAUAAAAAUAUAUUAUUUAAAAUAUAAAUUAAAACAAGAUCCGCGCAUAUAUGCACGGGUUCUCUCCUAGUAUAUAUGAAAGUUAUCGCUAUAAGUUUAUGUUAAUUUUGUUAUCAUAUAAUAUAUUAACAUGUUAACAAAUAUAUAUGAUAAUUAUAAGUGUUAACAAAUAUAUCAGCUGUUCAGCUUUUGCUCAGGGCAUAUAAUAUUUUUAUUUUUUUUUACUAAUCGGGGCCAAAAUUCUCGGAUUUUGUUUUGCCGACUACAAAAUAAAAAGAAUAUUUAGGUUUUUCAAAGACGGAAGAAGGUGAACAGCUGAGUUUUCGACUGAUCAUGUGAGUUUAAAAAAAUAUUAUGGACUUUAGACAUUAUUUUAAUGGAUUUAUUGUGUUUGUUACCAUUUUAAGUAGAGAACGGUACUCCUUAGCCACACUGCGAUCGGCAAUGACGAUGUCAUCACCUAACAAAGCGUAGUCGAGAAAUGGUCUCGUCUGAUGAGGAUAUGCUCGUAAUGCUGCCAACCACACAAUAGCAUGGUGGGACAACGCGAAUAGAGCCCAGGAGCCGUAAUAACCCAAAGGUUGACCUGCAACAAACACAACUUCGUCAUGCCGUCCAGUAACGGACUUCAAAGAGCAUGAGUUGAGUGCUAAGGCACCAUUGACAAUGCACGAUGCCAUCAUUUGACCGAAAAGGCACGCCAUAAGCUCAUAUAUGACUGGAACGGGCCACCGAUCGGUAGACCCACGUUCAGUGACUUUGGGUUUUGGAGACCCACGUUCUACCGAACUGAACUAAGAGCGCUUUCUUAUCACAAUUGAUAAGACUGUAAAGACGAGGAUUCCUUUUUUUUUUUUAUAACCCCAAUAAAUUUUCCACGCCUAUACUAUCAUAUAUAAUAUGAGAAAUUGAAAGAUUAUCUAUGUCCAAUUUGAAUCGAUCUCAAAUUGAUCCCUCCUUACUGCUUAGAGGACAAAGAAUAGGUAGGGAUGACAGGAGAAGUCUCAGAUGAUCCUAUCAUUUGAGGAUUCGAACCUGUGACAUUUUUGACUCACAACAAAGGCGCUACCAAGCUGCGCUACAUCCCUUUCAAUUGGUUUACGGUCUCAUUGUAGAGAAUCCCUGCCCUCUUUUCCACAUCCGAGGAACGCCUCCAUCGAUAUCAAAUUUCUCUUGCCAUUUUUUCUUUUUGCUUUUGAUUUAUAUACUCAUCAUAAUCCCGCCCCUCCUACAAACGCUAACUUACUUAUGAGAAAAAGGCUGAUAAAGAAUCAGCCCUUUGAAUUGAAUAAGCGAGGCUUUCCCGAUAGAAAUGCUUGCAUGCGAGAGAGAUCCCAAUUCCGUCUAUCCGAAAAAAAGCAAGCCCUGCCGCCAGCUUCCACCCAGACAAAAAAAACAUGAGCGCCUAGCGAGAAAGGUUGCUUUACUAAAUAAUAUAAGGCGCGUUAGCGCUUUAGUUUUCAAUAAGGUAUUUAGUCACUCUACCAUUAGGCACUUUAGUGACUCGAGAACUUGUUUCGAGGCACCCUAGUGACUCGACUGAAAAGGAGAGGUUGUGAAACAAACUCGACUAAAAGGAGAGGUAUUGAUUACUCGAAGCGUAGCGAGAGGUUUCAAUAACUUGAGUGAAACGAGAGGAGAGGGGGGAGAAAGUCCAAUAUUGCAGUAAGUUUGAUAAUGAUCGAGUGACAUUGCUUUUUCCCAAGGAAUCCCUUAUAUAUGAUGAAAAAUGGAUCUUGUUCUAUCGUUGAUCAGAGAUUUCUCUAUGAAAAAUACGAAUCGGAGUUUGAAGAAGGGGAAGGAGGCCUCGACCCGCAACAGAUAGAGGAGGAUUUAUUCAAUCACAUAGUUUGGGCUCCUAGAAUAUGGCGCCCUCGGGGCUUUCUAUUUGAUUGUAUCGAAAGGCCUAAUGAAUUGGGAUUUCCCUAUUUGGCCGGGUCAUUUCGGGGCAAGCGGAUCAUUUAUGAUGAAAAGUAUGAGCUUCAAGAGAAUGAUUCGGAGUUCUUGCAGAGCGGAACCAUGCAGUACUAGAGACGAGAUAGGUCUUCCAAAGAACAAGGCUUUUUUAGAAUAAGCCAAUUCAUUUGGGACCCUGUAGAUCCACUCUUUUUCCUAUUCAAAGAUCAGCCCUUUGUCUCUGUGUUUUCACAUCGAAAAUUCUUUGCAGAUGAAGAGAUGUCAAAGGGGCUUCUUACUUCCCAAACAGAUCCUCCUAUAUCUAUAUAUAAAAGCUGGUUUAUCAAGAAUACGCAAGAAAAGCACUUCGAAUUGUUGAUUCAGCGCCAGAGAUGGCUUAGAACCAAUAGUUCAUUAUCUAAUGGAUUUUUCCGCUCUAAUACUCUAUCCGAGAGUUAUCAGUAUUUAUCAAAUCUGUUCCUAUCUAACGGAACGCUAUUGGAUCGAAUGACAAAGACAUUUUUGAAAAAAAGAUGGCUUUUCCCGGAUGAAAUGAAAAUAAGAUUCAUGUAAUGUAACAGGAGAAAGGUUUCCCAUUACUUAGCCGGAAAGAUAUGUGGCCAUGAAAUAGGGAUUAAGUGGAAUGGAAUUGACUGGGGUGGUAGAGUUGUAGAAACACUUGUUUCUUCCACUUAGCUCCAUGGAACAAUAUGCUACUACUGAAACAUGGAAGAAUUGAAAUCUUAGAUCAAAACACUAUGUAUGGAUGGUAUGAACUGCCUAAACAAGAAUUCUUGAACAGCGAACAACCAGAGCUAUUAGUCACUACAUCAAAAAAAUUUCCAUUAAUGAAAGAUGGAAAUCCAUUGGAAAAUCAAAAAUACGCAUGUCGGAUGAAAUUGUUGUUGCUAUCUGUUCCAAUAAUGAAUCAACUGAAUAACUAAAUAAAAUAGAUAGACCUUUCUCUUCGUCUCAGGUCGAUGGAUCUUCUCAAUUGAAAGAUCCCCUAUAUGGAUAAUACACAUUCCAGUUGACCGAGCCUAAUUCUAAUUGUUUUGUUCCGAAGUCAAGAUAUCCACGAAGUGGUUCGCCCUAUUCAGAUAUUCACGACCAAGAAGUACUCGAUUCUCUUUAGGAUAGGUCCUGAAAGGAGAAGGAAGGCUGGAAUGCCACCAGGCGUCUAUUAUUUCAUUCACCCGACCCGAUAGUACCAAUUUUGGUAACGUCCAUUCAGUGCCAAAGUCACUGAAUGGGUAAGUCACCAAUCCCUAAAACAGACUAUGUAAUGUACUCUAUCUGCUGGGUUAUGGGGGGCGUUUUACCAGAGGUUUAGAUUGUAUCAAUCUACCCUUGUGUGAUUCCUGUUGAAUCAUAUACUAUGGGGCGCAGGGCGGACGAUUUCAAAGCGGACUCCCCCUCCCCAUUCAUUAGAUAGAGAAGAUCGCCAAGAUUUCGCGAUCCGCUGCCGAACUUAUUCCAUUUUAAUAUUAUGCCUUGAAGAGGCGUUCCUCGAACCUCCAUGAUAUGUUCAUAAUUUGCAUCAUUUAGGUUGCAUAAAUCAUUCCAAAUCAUGUUUUAUUUCAUGUAUUUUAGGUCCUUAGGGUUUGUUUUAGAACUUAGGAGAUGCAUUAGGUACCAAUGAGUCUUUGCAUGUUUUGAGUGUCUAUCAGGUGAUUAUGGAGCUGAAAAGAUGAAUCCAGGAGGUGGAAUGGUGAGCAGAGCUUGAAAAAGUGGAAAACUUGAGUCUAUGGAGGUUAUCGGCCAUUCUCGCUGGCCAGGAAGGUUUUACCGGCCAUUUUCACGUACCGCGAAUUAAGUAUAUCGGCCAAAAUCUCCGGGUGCGAACGAGUCUCAGAAAUCACCUGUCCGGGGAGCCUUCCGGUCCGAUUCAGAUGGCGGGUCCUUCAUAGAAGUUGGAGAGCAUUGAAGCACGGUCUCAUAGCAAUUGGAAUCGUAGAAUUCGGACGCGUGAGCAGAGAGAUAAGCUCGUCGGAAGAAACCCCUGUCUCGCAGGUAUUCCGGACCGAGCAGAUCAGUUCUGAAGGAUGCGAAGGACGGUGCACUUCCAGGCCGAUUCAGCUUCCGGGUCCUUCAUGAGAAUCAUAGACAUUUGAGUCUUCUUUCCAGAACGUCCAAGAGCAUUCAAUUCGGAUCUAUGAGCAGGAAGAUACGGCCUCCGGAAUGGACACAUGUCUAGACGCCUCUCUCUGGUCGUAUACAUGCACUGCAAAGAUGUGCCCUCCAGGAAGCCUUCCACCUCCCAAGCACUGAAACUUCCUUCACAAAAGUUGGAGAUAAAUGAGUCCUCUGUCUUCUGCAACCGAAAUCAUUCAAUUCGGACAAGUAUCACAGGAGUUACACUCUCCGGAAUGCGAAGUGAUCUAAGCUGCUCUGGAUGCUGCGAGAUGGUCUUGCGACUUGGUUAACCCGCAGGCCUGAAGAUGAACGCCUGAAUGCUGAUGCUGCGAGUUGAAAUGUGCGGGUAAACUAUCACUGGAAGAGGUCUGGAGCUCCCGAGCAAGAGAAAUGCUAAGUCCACAAUCGUGCGACUUAGGCAUGCGAGUCAUCCGCGCCUGGAUCUAUGCCGCACGAUCACUCGGAAUUCACUCCGACUUGAGCCUGCGACCUAAGUGCAAUAGAGACCAACCCGCACAGUUUCUACAUCCCCCAGAAACCGGCUCAGCCCUGCGAGUUGGAGAGGAAGGAGACCAUGCCGCAGAAACACUCGCAAUUUACUCCUAGAUAGGCGUGCGGCUCCGACAAGGCGAUUCAAGCCUCACAAGACAAGUCUUCAUCUACUGCGACUUAGGUGUGCGGCCUGGGACAUACUGAACCGACCCGCAGCUUUUCCCACUUUAUCCAUUAAAGCCGGGUCAGGACCCGGUUUGUUCCGGGCUGACCCGGUUCGUUUUUAAGAAGGUAUAAAUACUUUUUAGGGUUUUUUGGGGGAGAACUAAGUUUUAUUCCCUUUGUCUCUUGCCUCUUUGGUGAAAAGACUCCAUUAAGAAGAGAAAUAUUUUUAUUUGAGUGUUGAAUCAAGAGAGUUUAAAGGGAUCUGGGUGUUUAAAGCUGUUUUCUUUUGAAUCUAUCAUCUCCAUCUCCAUUUCUCAUCAUUAAUCAUGCUAAUCUACUCAACUUGCAAAGGUUUAAGAGAGAUUAGUAUGAUUAGUGAGUAGUCACCUUAAUGAGGUUCUAGAUGUGUAGGUUAGGGUGCUAAAGUGUUAGAUUAGGAGUGCUUAGGGCUAGAUUCAUUGAUUCAUCUCUCUAAACAGCUGUUCUCUAUGCUAGAUCCUUGAUAAUCACUUGAGAUCUAGAUUCUGGGAAUUUCAUGCACCAAAAGUGUUUGAUGAAAUUCCUGAAAGAGUUGUGUUAGAGGUUUAAGUAAUUUUUCAUCAUGGGAAUGAUUUGUUAAAUGCUUGAAUGAUCAUUAAGAGCUGUUUGUUAAUGCAUAUUGAUUCAUGUUUCACAAAUGGGAAUUUGGUUUGAAAAUGGAUUAGUAUAGGGGUUAAUACCUUCAUGAGAGGAUUAACCUAGAUUAGAGUUCUUAAUCAUUUGAAUCAUGUCUCAUCAUUGUCAUUAGCAUUUCUAGUUUAACACCAAGGCACCCUAACCAACUAUCAUGUCUAGAAUCUCAUGCCUCCAUCAUAUCAUAUUCACAUCAUUUGUCAUUGUCAUUUGUCUUUAAACCUGUUUAUGUUUAUAGUUGUCUCUAGAUUAAUCAAAACCUAUUCUUGUUUGCUUGAAUUCGGACAAGUCUCAUAGGAGUUACACUCUCCGGAAUGCGAAGUGGUCUAAGCUGCUCUGGAUGCUGCGAGAUGGGAUUGAUAGCCCUGAGACCAUAAAAAGUCUUAUCUAUCAAUUGGCGCCGUUGCCAAGUUGUGGUUUGAUUAGCAUUAAGCUCUGAUCUGUUCUUGAGAUCAAGUGCUUACUUUCUUGUUUUUACUGAUUCCUUUCAAGUUCUGUUUGUGAUUUCAGGUGUAUGAACACCAGGUCUAGAUCAAGAAGCUGUGGUCCUCCUUUUCCUCUAAACGACAACAUCAACCUUUUGGUACCAAGGAGGAGAAGAGACAGACGUGGUAGACACAUUGAUCAGACUGAGAUGGCAGAACAAGGAGAUCACGUGGUAGAUAUGGAACAACCAGUUCAGGAGCAACAGGCUCAAGGUCAGGGAGCUGGUAUUGGAGUUGGUCAGGGGUUUCACCAGGGCAAUGUUCAGCAGGAACAGGUGCACCACCAACAAGCCUAUGUCCACCAGGGACAGGCUCAGGCUCAUCAACAGAGGCAUCAGGCCAAUGUUCAACAAAGACACCAGGUGCACCACCAACCCCACCCUUUCCAACCACAACAAAGAAGAUAUGAGCAACCCCAAAUCUAUGUUGGCAAAAAUGACAGGGCCAAUGCUCAUCAGUAUGGAGCUGGUAUUCAGGCACCACCUGUGCAGAACAACAACUUUGAAGUGAAAGCAUCAUUGCUGAAUAUGGUCCAGAACUCAAAGUUCCAUGGGUUAGCAAUGGAAGAUCCCUUGGAACACUUGGACCAGUUUGAUAAGGUGUGUGAUCUGACCAAGAUAAAUGGAGUUUCAGAAGACAGCUUUAAGCUAAGACUAUUUCCAUUCAGUCUUGGUGAUAAAGCUCAUCAAUGGGAGAAGAAUCUUCCAAGAGGCUCCAUUCAAACCUGGGAGCAAUGCAAGCAAGCCUUCUUAUCUAAGUUCUUCUCCACCUCAAGAACUGCAAAACUGAGGAACCAAAUCUCUAGCUUCACUCAGCACAGCAAUGAAAGUUUUGGUGAAGCAUAUGAGAGAUUCAGGAGCUACACAAACCAAUGCCCACACCAUGGGUUUAGUGAGGCUUCUCUUCUCAGCACACUGUAUAGGGGAGCUCUUCCCAAGAUUAGAAACCAGCUGGAUACUGCUUCCAAUGGGAACUUUCUGGGUAAAGAGAUUCAUGCUGCUUUAGAGCUAGUGGAGAACUUAGCAUUGAGCAAUGAUACUUAUGGUGAAGACUAUGACAGAUCAAAUAGGUCUGAAGGUUCAAGCUCAGAACAGAGGCUCACCAGAGAAGUUAAGGAGUUGAGGAGUGAAUUGGACAAGCUGAAAUUCACCACUCAGAAGCCAAUGCAUUUUGUUGGAGAGUAUGAGGAACCUUCUCAAAUUUUUGAGAACAUAAGUGAAGAAGGUCUUACCCAAGAGGAGCUCAACUACAUUGGGAAUCAGAGGUUCCAAAGAUAUCAGUAUGGUAAUGCCAAUCCAAACCUCUCUUACAGGAACACCAAUGUAGCUAACCCACAAGACCAGGUCUAUCCCAAUUCUCAAGCUCCAAAGAACUUUGUUCCCAAGACUAACUUUCAAGGGUCAUUCCAACCCAAGAAUCAAUUUGGUCAGAAUCAGGGUUUUGGCCAGCAACAACAACCAUUUCAGGGCACUGGUUACACUUCACAGCAACCAAAGGCACCACCAGGGUUUGGUCCACCACAGUUCCAACAGCAGGCGCCGGUUCAACAACAGUUUCAGCCACCAAUGGUUCAACAGCAGCCACAGAUGGGUACAGAUAUGGUUGGUAUUCUGCAACAACUACUUCAGGGUCAACAGACUAUGCAGCAGGAAAUCAAGGAACUGAAGCAAAACCAGGCAUCAAGCUCAAGGAACCAAGGUCACCUACCUGGAAAACCAGAACCCAACCCCAAGGAAUAUGCUAAAGCCAUUACACUGAGGAGUGGCAAGGAGUUACCUGGUAUUGAGAACAACAAAGUGAUCAUUGAGGACAAUGAUCAACCUGAGGGGGAGGCAGCCUUAAAGGAUGAUCAAGUUGCUGAGAAACCAAGGUCAGAAAAGGGUAAAGAGGUAGCAAAGGAACCAGAACCAGAGAAGAAGUAUGUGCCACCACCUCCAUACCAACCCAAGCUCCCAUUUCCAGGGAGAUUUAAGAAGCAACUAGUGGACAAGGCAAGAGCUGUAUUUGAGAAGGCACUCAAAGAGACACCACUCACAAUGCCUCUCAUUGAUGCAUUCUUAAUGAUGCCAAAGAUGGGGAAGUUCUUGAAGGAUGCUAUUCUGAACAAGACAAAAGAGCUUCAAGGCAUGGUAGUACUAAGUCAUGAAUGCAGUGCUAUCAUUCAGAAGAAGUCCAUUCCAAGGAAGUUAACUGAUCUAGGGAGCUUCACACUCCCUUGUGCCAUUGGACCUCUUCUAUUCUCUGGAUGUCUUUGUGAUUUAGGAGCAUCAGUCAGCUUGAUGCCAUUCUCCAUAGCUAAGAAGUUGGGCUUUAGAGUUUUCAAACCCUCAAAGAUUUCUCUUAUCCUUGCAGAUAGAUCAGUUAGAUUGCCUGUUGGUAUGUUGGAAGAUCUACCUGUCAAGAUAGGUGGUUUUGAGGUUCCAACAGAUUUUGUUGUGCUGGAGAUGGAUGAAGAGCCAGUAGAUCCCCUUAUCUUGGGCAGGCCAUUCUUAGCCACUGCAGGAGCUAUUAUUGAUGUGAGAGGUGGGAUAAUAGAGCUUCAACUUGGGUCUGAAAAGCUCAAGUUUGAUGUGAAUGAGAUGAUGAAGAAGCCCACCAUUGAAGGUCAAUGUUUCUAUGUAGAGACAAUGGAUCAGUUGGCUGAUGAGUUGCUUGAGGAGCUGAACACAGAGGAUCCUCUUCAAGCUACUCUGACUCAAGAACAAGGAGACAAUGGGCUCUUGGCUGAAGCAAGUGAAGGGUAUAAGCUGUAUCUGGACAAUGCAAGAGAGCUGGGUCCUGAGACAAGGUUUGUGGAGCUGGAACAGAAUGGCACUGAGGUUUUGGCAAUCCAAGAAUCAGUCACCAGCCAAAGCAGCUUGGACCAGGACUGGAAUGAGGCUGAUGCACCCUCUGUUGAGCUCAAACCUCUACCAACAGGGCUCAGGUAUGCUUUCUUAGGACUAAACUCCACAUAUCCUGUCAUCAUCAAUGAUAGCCUAUUAGAGGACCAAGAGAGUGCAUUGCUGAAUGAAAUAAGAAAGUUCAGGAUAGCCAUAGGGUAUUCUUUGGCUGAUAUUAGAGGGAUCUCUCCUGACAUCUGCACCCAUAGGAUCCACCUAGAGGACCAAUCUAUGUCCUCUAUUGAGCACCAACGUAGACUUAACCCCAACCUUAGGGAAGUGGUUAAGAAGGAGAUACUAAAGCUUCUUGAGGCAGGGAUAAUUUACCCAAUCUCUGACUCAAGAUGGGUAUCUCCUGUUCAUGUUGUGCCCAAGAAAGGUGGGAUCACAGUGGUGAAAAACGAUAAGGAUGAACUCAUAGCUCAAAGAACCAUAACUGGCCACCGCAUGUGCAUUGACUAUAGGAAAUUGAAUUCUGCUUCUAGAAAAGAUCAUUUUCCUUUACCAUUCAUUGAUCAAAUGCUUGAAAGGUUAGCUAAUCAUCCUUAUUUUUGUUUUCUCGAUGGGUACUCUGGAUUUUUCCAAAUUCCCAUAGAUCCAAGAGAUCAAGAGAAAACAACAUUCACAUGCCCUUAUGGCACUUAUGCUUAUAGGAGAAUGCCUUUCGGUUUAUGUAAUGCACCGGCUACUUUUCAAAGGUGUAUGAUGCACAUUUUCUCUGACAUUAUUGAAGAGAAAGUUGAGGUGUUCAUGGAUGACUUUAGUGUCUAUGGCUCCUCCUUCUCGGAUUGUCUCUCUAAUUUGACACAGGUGUUGGAGAGAUGUGAGCAACACAGCUUGGUGCUGAACUGGGAGAAGUGUCAUUUCAUGGUGCAAGAAGGGAUAGUUCUUGGGCACAAGAUCUCUGAAAAGGGCAUUGAGGUUGAUAAGGCAAAGGUGGAGGUUAUGGUGAAUCUGCAAACCCCCACUUCAGUUAAAGGGAUAAGGAGCUUCCUGGGUCAUGCAGGGUUUUAUAGAAGAUUCAUAAAGGACUUCUCAAGGAUUGCCAGGCCCUUAACAAGACUGUUGUGCAAGGAGGUGGAUUUCAUCUUUGAUGCUGAAUGUGAAGAAGCCUUUAAGUUGAUCAAGGAGGCAUUGGUUAGUGCACCAAUAGUUCAGGCACCAGACUGGUCUCUACCUUUUGAGGUCAUGACAGAUGCUUCUGACUUUGCUGUUGGAGCAGUACUUGGACAAAAGAAAGACAAGAAGUUGCAUGUGAUCUACUAUGCCAGUAGAACACUUGACUCUGCCCAAGAGAAGUAUGCUACAACUGAAAAGGAAAUGCUGGCAAUAGUUUUUGCCUUUGAUAAGUUCAGAAGCUACCUGGUGGGAUCAAAGGUCAUUGUGUAUACUGAUCAUGCAGCCCUUAGGUAUUUGAUGACCAAGAAAGAUGCCAAGCCAAGGCUGUUGAGAUGGGUUCUAUUGCUCCAAGAGUUUGAUAUGGAAGUGCUUGAUAAAAAGGGGAUUGAGAAUGGUGCUGCAGACCAUCUCUCAAGGCUGAGGAUUGAAGAAAAGGUCCCCAUAGAUGAUGCUUUGCCUGAAGAGUCUCUGAUGGUGCUCCAUUCAUACUUGGAGUUUGAGGAAGUAGAGAGCAUUCAAGAAAGGAGGAUGCCUUGGUUUGCAGAUAUAGUGAACUAUCUUGCAUGUGGGGUGGAGCCCCCUGAAUUGGAUGCUUACAAGAGGAAAAAGUUCUUCAGAGAUGUCCAGAGAUACUAUUGGGAUGAGCCCUACCUCUAUGUUCUGAACAAGGAUCAGCUAUACAGAAGGUGUCUUGCUGAAGAGGAGAUGCAACCUGUGUUGCAGGAAUGUCAUGGUUCUGCUUUUGGAGGUCACAUGGGGGCAUUCAAAACUGUAGCAAAGGUUCUUCAAAGUGGGUUCUGGUGGCCUACAAUGUUCAAAGAUGCCCAGUUGGUGGUUUCAGCAUGUGAUGCCUGUCAGAGGCAUGGGAACAUAUCUAAAAGAAGUGAGAUGCCUCAAAACCCCAUUCUAGAAGUGGAGAUUUUUGAUUGUUGGGGGAUUGACUUUAUGGGACCUUUCAUUUCAUCCUUUGGAAAUCAAUACAUACUUGUUGCUGUGGACUAUGUGUCCAAAUGGGUUGAGGCCAUUGCUUCCCCUACCAAUGAUUCCAAGGUUGUAGUAAAGCUGUUUAAGAGCAUCAUCUUCCCAAGGUUUGGAGUUCCAAGGGUUGUCAUUUCUGAUGGAGGAUCCCAUUUUUUGAACAAGACUCUGGAAGGUUUAUUGAGAAAGCAUGGAGUCAAACACAAGAUAGCUACUCCAUAUCACCCCCAAACUAGUGGCCAAGUAGAGGUAUCUAAUAGACAGAUCAAGGCCAUUCUGGAGAGGACUGUUAGCUCAAGCAGAAAAGAUUGGAGCAAAAGGCUUGAUGAUGCAUUAUGGGCUUACAGGACUGCCUUUAAAACUCCAAUUGGAACAUCACCAUUCAGUCUGCUAUAUGGGAAGAGCUGCCACCUUCCUGUUGAGUUGGAGUACAAAGCUAUGUGGGCUGUGAAGUUUCUAAACUUUGAUAUCAAAACAGCUCAAGAGAAAAGGAUCAUGCAACUUCAUGAACUUGAGGAGAUCAGGCUUGAAGCUUUUGAAAGCUCAAAGAUCUAUAAGGAGAAGACCAAGGUCCUGCAUGAUCAAAAGAUUCUGAAGAGAGAGUUCAAGUAUGGUGAUUUGGUCUUGCUUUUCAACUCCAGGCUUAAGUUGUUUCCAGGAAAGCUUAAGUCUAGGUGGUCUGGACCUUUCAAAGUUCUUGAAGUGAGGCCUUAUGGUGCCAUUGUCUUAAAAGGAAAGAAUGGUCAGGAAUUUGUGGUGAAUGGACAGAGAGUCAAGCAUUACUUAGUUUCACAAGGGAAAGAGGAGGCUACAACAGUUCCUCUUCUUGAUCCACCAGCCUGUUAAACAGGUUCUCAAAGUCAAACUUAGAGACUUUAAACAAAGUGCUCUUGGGAGACACCCCAAGCUUAUCUUUGUACAUAGUUCUUCUGAUUUCUUCUCUUUUCUUUUAUGUUUUAGAACUUUUUGAUGGGUUUUGUGAGUUGGUCUCAGGUACUAAGUGAUCUUUGGAGGACAUAGCUCAGUGAUGAAUGGAAAGAAGCAUGUGAGAGAGCUGAGAGAAGUGUUUAAGGCCAGAAAAACGUUUAAGUCCCAAAAGCUGCGGCCUAGGAGUGCGGGUCAGAAGAGAAGAGCCCAGGCCGCAGCAAGGUUCGGAAUUUACUCCGGCCUGGGCGUGCGACCUGGAAAGAGGAAGGCCGAGCCGCACAGAAAGAAGAAGGCCCGAAACGUUUAAGUCCCAUCUACUGCGGGAUGGUUGCGCGGGUCAGAAGAGAGGGAGCUAGGCCGCACGACUAUUCGGAAUUUACUCCGGCCUGGGCGUGCGACCUAGGAGCGUAGACGCUGAGCCGCACCAAAAAGAAGAAGGCCGAGGGUUCUAAGUGUUAAACCGUGCGACCUGGUGCUGCGGCCUGAAACCCAAGGAGUCUAAGUCGCACGAUCGUUCGGAAUUUACUGCGGGAUGGUUAUGCGGCUCAGAAGAACGAUGGCCAGGCCGCACAGAAAGAAGGGAAACCCAAAAUGCCUAAGUCCCAGAAGCUGCGGGAUAGGAGUGCGGGUCAGAAGAAAGAUGGCCAGGCCGCAGAAAGACUCCCAGAAGCUGCGGGAUAGGAGUGCGGGUCAGAAGAAAGAUGGCCAGGCCGCAGAAAGACUCGGAAUUUACUCCGAGUUUAAGUCCCAAAACCUGCGGGAUGGGUGUGCGGGUCAGAAGAAGGAUGGCCAGGCCGCAGCAAGACUCGGAAUUCACUCCGAGAUGGUUGUGCGGGUCAGAAGAAAGGAUGGCCAGGCCGCAGCAAAAUUAUUUCCGGUUCUACACCGAGACGGUCACACGGCUCGAUCCCGACAGUUCCCGGGCGCACAAAAGAGAGAAAGGAAGCCGGUCAAUGAGAAAAGGAUGGGUCAAAGCCUUGACUGGUCAAAAUAGAUCUAUUGACCACCAGUACAAAGGCUUGACCCUACCCCACACUCUUUCUUCCUCACUACAAACACGAGUUUGCAACUCUCUCUCUCAUUUCUCUCCAUUGUUUUCACCAUAUCUCUCUCAUUUCUCCACCAAAAUUGUUGAUUCAAAGUGCUCUGAGCUCGUUUUUGAGUUGUUAACAUCAUCCUGAUUGCAUUUCGAACUUGUUGCAUCUUAAUCCCAAGGUAUUUCGCCCUGUUGAAACUCAUCUCUUUCCAUGUUCUUCAAUGGUGAUUUUUGAACUUUAAGGUGUGGAAUCGAUUUUGAUAGGUUGUUUUAGACCUUGGGAUUAUUUUUAUAAAUGCUAGGGUGAUAGAUAAUCUUGGAAAACAGAGCACUUUGUUGGAAACUACUUGUUCUUGAGUUUUGAAAAUUGUUGCAAGUAAUUCAUGAAGAAAUCGAUUUUUUUUUUUUUUUAAAAAAAUUGUUGCAAGAGCUUUGCACUCUUGUUUCUGCAUUGCUAUGAAUUUAUUUGAUGCACUCUUGUUUCUGCAUUGCUAUGAAUUUAUUUGAUUGAUUCUUGGCUUCAGAAACUUGUUCAUGUGCUGUUGAUAUCGGUUUCUUGCAACAAUUGUUUUCAAAAUUUUGAAGACUUUUGUGAGGCUUAACCUUGUACUAACAAUAUUUUUGAGAAUCUCUUGGCAGAUGACUGAAAGAACCAACUCUUUGGCCAAGAAGAAGGGCCCUGCAUCAAAGGGCAAAGGUUUGGCCUCAGGAACUUCAAAGCCAAGAGACAAGGGUCAAGGUGCAAAGAAUACCACAAAGCAAGGAAAGUGUGAUCCAGCGCCAAAAAGGACAAGGCCUGAAGGAAGAGCUUUGGUGGUUGCUUCUGGCUCCAAGAAAAAGGGGAAACAGUUGGCUGUGGUAUCUGAGAGUGAACAGACUGAAAGUGACUCCGGCAGCUCAGCUGGUGGUUCCCAAGGCACCAAUGAAGAGGGAUCAAAGAAGUUCAAGAAAACUGAACCAGAAACACCUGAUUAUCUGGCUAAGUUUCAGCAGAUAGAGAUCCAGCAAGGGAGAUUCCCUGAUUUGGACUUUCUGAAGAAGAUUGGCCUCUAUGAAGAUGUCAAGACUUUGCUUGGGAACAUGGGUGUUGAGUCACUUUUGGAGAUGAGAGAAAUCGCUUAUGAGCAAGAGUCCCAAGAGUUCUUGGCCUCCUUUGAAGCUUUCAUUUACUACCCAAGGGAUUCAAGAAUCAUUCAAGGAGAUGGGCUUGGACAUGUGGAGUUUACUGUGAAAGGGAAGGAAUAUUCAGUGUCAUUCAGAGAAUUGAGUAAGAUCUUUGGGUUUUCAGCACCUAGAAAUGAAUUUCUCUCCAACUCGGUCAAUCUCAGAAAAGAUGAGAUCCAACUUCUAUGGAGAUCAAUUGCUUCUGGGAAGUACACAGCUGGAACAGCUAAGGCCUCUUGGAUAAGGAAUCCAGUUCUGAGAUAUGUACACAAGAUUCUCUCUCACAGCUUCUACUUCAAGAUUGAUGUUGGAAGAGUUCACAAAGGAGAUCUGCUGCUUCUGGGUGUAGGGCUGAGACCGCUGAUGCCAACACAUGAAGAUGGGGAACCCUAUGUAGGGUAUGAAUACCCACUUUGCCUUGCAUCUCAAUUAGCAAGGUCUUUGAUGUUCUACAAAAAGUGCAUGUGGGAUUCUACAAACAAAGAUGCAAAGCUGACCCAUGGAUGGGUGGUAACAAAGAUCUUGAAAGCCAUGGGGUAUAGAUUCAAGGAGAACAAGGCAAAGUUUGAUCUGAUUAAUGAAGCACAUUUGUGUAGGAUUGGCUUUCUCCAAGGAAGAGUGGGUACCAAGGCAGUCUACAACUUCAAGACACUCAUCAGUGAGCCAGCCCAAGUUCUCCUACCCAAUCCCUCCAUCACCACAGUCCAAGUUAAAAGGAACAUUCACUUCUUCUUGCUGAAGGAAGAGCUGUACAAUGUCCAAACUGAUCCACCAAUCCUCACAUACAGGCAAGCUUGCAGAGAAGAAGCCUCCAAGGGAAAGAAAGCAACCGCUGAAGAUGCUACCACAAGUGCAGCUGGUGCUCACGAUGCUGAUCUGCCUCCACCUCAAAAACGUUUUGGUGGAAACAGAUAUCACUUUGAUGAUUACAACUGGGAGGAACCAGGCACUUCAGGGUUCAGAGCUCAACAGAAGAUUGGUAUUCUCCAACAAUGGUGCAAGUACCAAGACAAAACCAUCCACAAGAUGGCCAAGUGCAUCAAGGAGAUGAAGAAGAGGAUCAAGAAGCUUGAAAACCCUUGCAAAGGUGGGGCUCCAGCACCAGUUUCACCAAGAAACAGAGAGGAAGUUGGGGAGAGUUCCAUGAACUGCACAGCCUUGGUCGCAUAUGGAACCACUUGGGUAGAUCUUGACGACGGGAGUGAUGAAGCCAGCCACCAUUCUUGGGAAACACCGUCAGGCCACACAUCGAACCCCUCCUACUCAUUGGGGUCUGAUUUCAACAGCCACUAGGUAACACUCAAAACCUUGUAAAUAGCAUGUAGACUUUCUUUUCCUUUUGCAUUUUGCUUGUUUGCUUUGGUUUCACUUCUUUCUCAUACUUUUAUAACACAAGGGACUGUGUUAUUUAGGUGUGGGGGAGGAGUUUCAUCCUUUACUAACCAUGUUUUCUAUUUUCUCAUUUUACACUUUGAGUCUUGAGUCACAUUCUAGUUGCAUAGUCAUCUAAGUGCAUAUAAAAACCAAAAAAAUGGAAAAAUCUGAAAAAUUUUCACAAAAAAAUGAUCAUGUAGUUGCAUUCUCAUUUUUAGGAUUGAGUCUAGAUUGCAUUUGCAUAUAGGUUGCAUCUUGCAAGGAGUAAUGAUAGGUUUUCUAGAGAGUACAUCACUUUGAGAACUUGAAUUGAAUAUGCUUGUGAAUCUUUUUCUAUGCUUGCAAAGUCUGAAAUGAUUUGAAUCUGAGAAGCAAGUUUGAAUUAAACUCAACUCUAAUUAAGUGGGAACCUUGAACUUGACCUGAAAAUAUCUUGUGAUGCAUUGUUUGAAAAAGCUUGUGGAUACCAAUAUACAUACUUGAGCUAGAACCACUGUUUUUACCACUCUUUUCCUUAGCUCAAGUAACUGAAUCCACAUCAUGGAUCAGUUCCCAUACCUUGAACCCAUCCUUCUUUUAAGCCAAUGUUUGUGUGAGAAUUGAAAGGCCACCUUGGAUCAAACUUAGCAGAAAGUGUUAGGUUUAGAGCGACAAGGGCAGGUCUCAUUGAGUGCUGUGUUCCAACAUCAAGGAACUGAGAGUUUUGGCGAGGAAUAAGUGUGGGGGAAAAGACCUUUUGGUGAGUGGAAAAAGGUGAGAUGAGUGGAAAGAGAGAGUGAAAAUAACUAGGGGAAUGAAAGAAAAAGAAGUCAGUCUUGGUGUUUUGAGAAAGUGAGCUCUGGUUUGUUGAAAAGAAAAAUCUAGCCUCUAAGUGAAAAAGAAAGAAAAGAAGCCAAAAGCUCAAAUGUUUUGAUAAGAAAGAAAGAAGAGGCUAGAAGUUGUAAAAGAAAAAGAGCUGUGUAAAGUUUGAGUUCCAAGACUUGAGAGUGAAAGUGAAGAACAAAUCCCCUAGUGAGAGGAAAAUGAGUGUGAAAAGUGAGGUUUUUGAGCAAGAGAGGAAGCGUUGAGUAGAGGGUGGGGAGUGAUGAGUCUUUGCCCUUGUAUGCAUAGGUUGCUUUUUACCUUUAGCAUUCUGCCAAAGUUUGAUCAUUCAUAGAGAGAUCCCUUUGCUGCAUUUAACCCACUUGAACACUGAUGAGAUCAUUUUAAUCUCAUAGCCUCUCCCUAGCCAAGCCAGCUUGUUUAAACCUUGCAUCAUGAGAUCCACCUGAUAAAAGCUUAAUGAAUGUGAAAGAGUUGAGAGAGAGAAGAACUUGUGGAGAUUCCUUGCUGAGUAGACAUAUAUCUGAGUAUGUCUCGAACCUCCAUGAUAUGUUCAUAAUUUGCAUCAUUUAGGUUGCAUAAAUCAUUCCAAAUCAUGUUUUAUUUCAUGUAUUUUAGGUCCUUAGGGUUUGUUUUAGAACUUAGGAGAUGCAUUAGGUACCAAUGAGUCUUUGCAUGUUUUGAGUGUCUAUCAGGUGAUUAUGGAGCUGAAAAGAUGAAUCCAGGAGGUGGAAUGGUGAGCAGAGCUUGAAAAAGUGGAAAACUUGAGUCUAUGGAGGUUAUCGGCCAUUCUCGCUGGCCAGGAAGGUUUUACCGGCCAUUUUCACGUACCGCGAAUUAAGUAUAUCGGCCAAAAUCUCCGGGUGCGAACGAGUCUCAGAAAUCACCUGUCCGGGGAGCCUUCCGGUCCGAUUCAGAUGGCGGGUCCUUCAUAGAAGUUGGAGAGCAUUGAAGCACGGUCUCAUAGCAAUUGGAAUCGUAGAAUUCGGACGCGUGAGCAGAGAGAUAAGCUCGUCGGAAGAAACCCCUGUCUCGCAGGUAUUCCGGACCGAGCAGAUCAGUUCUGAAGGAUGCGAAGGACGGUGCACUUCCAGGCCGAUUCAGCUUCCGGGUCCUUCAUGAGAAUCAGAGACAUUUGAGUCUUCUUUCCAGAACGUCCAAGAGCAUUCAAUUCGGAUCUAUGAGCAGGAAGAUACGGCCUCCGGAAUGGACACAUGUCUAGACGCCUCUCUCUGGUCGUAUACAUGCACUGCAAAGAUGUGCCCUCCAGGAAGCCUUCCACCUCCCAAGCACUGAAACUUCCUUCACAAAAGUUGGAGAUAAAUGAGUCCUCUGUCUUCUGCAACCAAAAUCAUUCAAUUCGGACAAGUAUCACAGGAGUUACAAUCUCCGGAAUGCGAAGUGAUCUAAGCUGCUCUGGAUGCUGCGAGAUGGUCUUGCGACUUGGUUAACCCGCAGGCCUGAAGAUGAACGCCUGAAUGCUGAUGCUGCGAGUUGAAAUGUGCGGGUAAACUAUCACUGGAAGAGGUCUGGAGCUCCCGAGCAAGAGAAAUGCUAAGUCCACAAUCGUGCGACUUAGGCAUGCGAGUCAUCCGCGCCUGGAUCUAUGCCGCACGAUCACUCGGAAUUCACUCCGACUUGAGCCUGCGACCUAAGUGCAAUAGAGACCAACCCGCACAGUUUCUACAUCCCCCAGAAACCGGCUCAGCCCUGCGAGUUGGAGAGGAAGGAGACCAUGCCGCAGAAACACUCGCAAUUUACUCCUAGAUAGGCGUGCGGCUCCGACAAGGCGAUUCAAGCCUCACAAGACAAGUCUUCAUCUACUGCGACUUAGGUGUGCGGCCUGGGACAUACUGAACCGACCCGCAGCUUUUCCCACUUUAUCCAUUAAAGCCGGGUCAGGACCCGGUUUGUUCCGGGCUGACCCGGUUCGUUUUUAAGAAGGUAUAAAUACUUUUUAGGGUUUUUUGGGGGAGAACUAAGUUUUAUUCCCUUUGUCUCUUGCCUCUUUGGUGAAAAGACUCCAUUAAGAAGAGAAAUAUUUUUAUUUGAGUGUUGAAUCAAGAGAGUUUAAAGGGAUCUGGGUGUUUAAAGCUGUUUUCUUUUGAAUCUAUCAUCUCCAUCUCCAUUUCUCAUCAUUAAUCAUGCUAAUCUACUCAACUUGCAAAGGUUUAAGAGAGAUUAGUAUGAUUAGUGAGUAGUCACCUUAAUGAGGUUCUAGAUGUGUAGGUUAGGGUGCUAAAGUGUUAGAUUAGGAGUGCUUAGGGCUAGAUUCAUUGAUUCAUCUCUCUAAACAGCUGUUCUCUAUGCUAGAUCCUUGAUAAUCACUUGAGAUCUAGAUUCUGGGAAUUUCAUGCACCAAAAGUGUUUGAUGAAAUUCCUGAAAGAGUUGUGUUAGAGGUUUAAGUAAUUUUUCAUCAUGGGAAUGAUUUGUUAAAUGCUUGAAUGAUCAUUAAGAGCUGUUUGUUAAUGCAUAUUGAUUCAUGUUUCACAAAUGGGAAUUUGGUUUGAAAAUGGAUUAGUAUAGGGGUUAAUACCUUCAUGAGAGGAUUAACCUAGAUUAGAGUUCUUAAUCAUUUGAAUCAUGUCUCAUCAUUGUCAUUAGCAUUUCUAGUUUAACACCAAGGCACCCUAACCAACUAUCAUGUCUAGAAUCUCAUGCCUCCAUCAUAUCAUAUUCACAUCAUUUGUCAUUGUCAUUUGUCUUUAAACCUGUUUAUGUUUAUAGUUGUCUCUAGAUUAAUCAAAACCUAUUCUUGUUUGCUUGAAUUAAGAACUUGAACAUAUAGCUUAGUGUCUAACACCACAUUUGGAUUGAUAAACCUCUUUGUGCUACAUUGACAAGGGGAUUGAUAGCCCUGAGACCAUAAAAAGUCUUAUCUAUCACUCCACGCUCUUUAGCACGAGAUUUUGGGUCUCGCGUGUCUACCAUUUCACCACCAAGGCGUUCAUCGGAGUGAAUCGUAUUCCAUAAAUAUGAUAUCUAUCUAGUAUGGCCAAUUGGACUGAAUGUGGUAUGGCAGCAGUAGCAAAGGGGCACAUUAAUUAGUAAGGCAAGCUGUAAGAAUAGCACUCGGAAAUCUCUCUAAAACCAAAGCCCGGGAGUCAAUAGACUGAGUGACUGUGGUUAGGUAGCUGUUAGUAGUAAGAAGCUCCGGUUCACAAAAAGAAAGAGUCACUGACCGAGUGCAGUGGUAAUACCGACAGAAAGAGCUCCCAACGGAAAGAGGUCCCUAAUAGGAGAGAAAUCAAUUCCAAAGGUAUGAAAUGACUCGAUAAGAGGUCCUUUAGAAGAAUGCGGAAGCACCACCAAUGGCCAGGCGCAAGGCUACGUCUGGCACUCUUGCAAGUAGGGAGUCCUAUGCCUUUUUAUGUAAACAGAAAAAAGCUCGAGAAGAUCUUUCCUCAUGUGGAUUCAAAAAGCAAGGAUCUGUCCAAUGGAUUUGCCUUGAAAACAAAGUCGUAUUUGAGUUGGCGUAUAUCAAUCUGAUAUGGCUCGGUGUGGAUGGCAGGCAGUCCUCUAAGUCUCAGUCUUGGUUUAGUCCAGUAAGAUCAUACUUUUCUUGGUGUCGUCCAGGUUUGAGUCCUGUAAGAUAUAUAGGAGACUUUUCUAUCAUAUUCAUACCGUUCUGUUGUACCCGAGCGACUAUGACCAGGAGGAGAGCUCAAGUUAGUGGCAGGAGAAGGAGAUUUUGAAGGUCAUGAAGAAGUGGAAGAAAGGAUGAGUGGAGAACGACUUUCGUUUGGGAUUUUGCAGCUCCAAGUUCAUAUUAGGCCUUGUGCUUGUUCGCUCAUCAAGGAGACCUACAAGUACGUCUUUUAGUUUGGUUUGGCUGGCCUUUAGCUAACUCUAACAGAAGAGCGGCAAGAGCUUCUCUGAAAAGACCUGUUCUCUUAUCGCUUUGAACAUUCUCCUGGGUUCCUAGUCCAAAGAAAAAGACAAGGCUGAGUUGCCCCUUCUACCAUCUGAGGUGGAAUACGGAUCAAGAUUUGCUGAGUUUGUUCUAUGGAAUAGGUUAGGCCCUCUCACUCUAUCUCAUGUCGGAGAAGGUUAUGUAUGAAUUUGAAUACCCACGAACGUCUAAGAGGUCAGCUACUUAGUUGAUUUGAUUUAAGGUAUCUCUUGAUCGAAGGGUUCAAGCCGCUAAAGCGGAAAGAUAUAUCUCUUUGCUUGAAGCGUUGUGGAUUUAGGCGUGUCACGCCAACCUUCUGUAAGUUCCUGGAUAAUCGUUCCCGGAUAAUGCCUGCCGCAGGGACUCACCCUAUCUUCGCGCAUACUUCCUUGUUUGUUCUGGGAGUUGAAUCAGAAGCAUCGAAUGAAAGCUUCUUUUACAGGACCUCUUCUAUUUCCCUCCAUUCUUCUUCCUAGUGACCUAGGAGUUGGAUUUGUGACAUUUUUUCUUUCUGCUAUUCAAGUAGCCAGGUCUGGUAAGUAAGGACUUUGGUCUCAGUAGAAGUCAAAAAGCCUUCAACAAGACCAUCCACUAUUGAAUCAGCUGCUAUAGAUUUAGCUAAAGAAUGUCUUGCACGAGAUUCAAUGUUAUGUGCUUGAUUGCGAUCACAUUUUUCUCGUAGUUGAUGAGCUGCCAACCUCCGGAAUUGAGGGUUGUAGGUAGAGUUUCCUGCGUUCAACUUGGAGUCUAAAGAGUUGGAUUUGGAGUUUCUAAAAGCUGUUAUUAGUUCCGACUCCCCGGUCUAGGCCUGGUACUUGUUAGUUCUAAAAUAUCAGUGUCGCUACUUUCUGUCAAAAAUUUCCUGCGAAGCUCUUUCUCUAAACAAGCUGUUUUCAUGCCUAUACUAGCUUUCUUUGUUUGACAGGUUGGGGAAGACUCAAUGCAAAGAGAUCAAGCUUACACAGCACAGAUUUGACCAGAAGGUCCAAGUUUCCGGUAAGCUUUCACAGAAAUGUACGGCUAGACCCUGUAAGAGGGGAUCGUCAUAGAUUUCGUACCAAUCCCCGCAUCGUUUUAGCUUUUGUUUGAUGAUGUCAGGUGGAGUCGUCUCCAUGAGUUCGAGUUGCUCGGCAGGGGCGCUCAUCCUUACAAAAUGAUCCGCGCGAAGGGAAAGAGAAGAAACUUCCGUACCUUAUUGUGAGAGUUCCGAUGAUUUUUCUUAGGGGAGCUAACGAAUUCCUGGUUGAAACUUCACUUAACACAGUCUUCGUUCACAUAGUAGAAGAGGUAGAGGGAUAGCUACCGUAGCUCGGAAGUCUUGACUCGCUACCUACAUACAUGGUAACCGCAGCUAUUGAAGGGAGACAGGGCUAAGGCAGAGGGAAGGAGUCGUUCGCUUACUUCUACCUGGCUGGGAUAGAAAGUUCCCUCCUUGAGAAGCGGAAGAAGGGGAAGUCAGCCUGUCUUAAAAUCGAUUAACUAAGCUAGCUUAAUUCUUGAACUACUUGAACUAGAGGAGCGGUACGAGCGGCUUACUACAAAAGAAAGGCUAUUUGAGAUGCUUUUUCCAGGCCAAAGUACUCUGACCCAUGCGAUUCAAGCUCACUGAGAACGGAUUACCCUAGUUUGAAAUUCAACUACGGACCAACAAAGAUUGAUUGUUGUCCCGUUGACAGGAAGAUGGAGGGUUCUCGUACUCGCUUGGCGGGGUGGGCAUUCUUAUUUGUUUAAGACUUCUCACAGGUUUUAGGCGCUAUGAGGGCUUGAUAGCUUUGAUGUAAUCGUUUUGGUCGUUGUUGAAAUUGAUGAGCCAAACAAGCCAGUUCUCAGCCUUCUAGAGUAUCCGUUUGAAUACGAGACAAAGGAAUCAUUAGGCCUAUCUCUCACUUUCUAAUACUAUUAUUGCUAGCUAAGGAGCUAGAGUAUACUAGUCUAGAAAAGAAUCCCACAGUUGGCUGUCUGACUCUAAUACCGAUGCGAAGGAAACUCAUUAAUUCAUUGAUGAGGGCGAAAAAACUCAUUAAUUCAUUGAUGAGGGCGAAGAAACUUUCAGCUUUAGAGAGUCCAGUUCCAGCGGAAGAAUAAGUACGGUAGCAAGUCAAAUCAAUCUCCUCCAACAGAAGGCUCUGACCUGACCACAGUCAAUCAGUCUAUUGUUCUGGUUCUAGAGAGUCUAACCGAGAAGAAAUCGUCUCAUCGCUUUGAGCCUGGUCCAGGUGUGGGGGGAAUGAGUCCUCCAUCUAGUAGCCCUUCCGACAAGAGCAGUUACGCCUUUUCCUAAAGCCCUUACUAAACCACCGCCUAGCGACCACGGAAAGCAUAGUCAGAAGAGCUGAAACAAUAGCCAUGUCGCUUACGCUCCUCGGGAAUAGCCUUUCGAACUGAACUACCACGACUCUCGUUAGCUGCAUCGGAUUCAUGAAUCAAUUUCUGCAGAUUAUCUCAUUCAAUUGCAGCGGCUUUAGCAGACAUCUCUUCUGCAUAGAUAGAAGAUCCGGCUAGAAACUCCUUUUCAUUGCCUUCUACUUUCAGUUUUCAAUGAAUUUCUCUAUAUCUAAUUCCAAGUGAGAUGUCCAAGAUCAAAGGAUGGAGGGUAAGAAUCGACUCACUCUCCUAACCUCAAAGGGAAUCUGAGAAACAAGUAGAUCAAGGAUUCCCAUGUUGCCUAUGGUGUCUUGCUCAAAGCUUAAUAAAAGCAAAGAUCACAUUCCUACUGUCAAGCUAAAGGCGAAAGAAGUUGCUUAGCUUAACCUCUUCAUAGACACAUGGGCGACCCAUCAGUCUGUAGCCUUCCAGAUAUAGACAUUCUUUUUGAUUCCCUGUACAGAAAAGAGAGAUUGCUCACUCCCUCUGUGCCACAUCCAACCUACGACCAAGAGAAAGAGAAGUUGACGACUCAGCCCUUCUCCCGGUGCGUCACAUUCAAGAAGAUGUGGUGCGGUUGAUCUAGUCUUUAGAAGAGACUCUACAGAUAGGUCAAGAGGGUGUCGAUUAGAGUUGAACAUAGUCAAGGUGUCGAUAGAGUUGAACAUAGUCAAAUAAUCAAUUCCUCUCUUCCAUUUCGUCCUCCUCCUCUCAUAAGGCAAAGGAUGAUAUCGAAUGAUCGAUUCACCAUUGAGAACAUGAAUCCAAUAUUUCUUCUUGGAACUCACUAUUAAGGAAGUAGCGAGAAGUGGGUGCAUUGCCUCACAUUCCAUCCGAAUGAGUGAUCUAGUUAGAGUUCAUAGAAAAGGGUGAGUUCACCUUACUUCUGGGCUAAGCAACUCCCCUUUAUUCACCCUUCCAAGAAGUUUUCCUGAGAAGUGAUCGGACAUAGUCGGCCUCUCUCUUAGAACUCAUAUGAUGAAUUAGACAAAGAAUAGCUAGGAUCUCUCUUUAGAUGUCCUGGAAGGCUCGGCUAUAUAUGAAAGCAAAUUAGAUGCCAAGCUGGCACAUAGUCUACUUAGGAUCGAGAGCGCGGUGACAGUAGAGAGUCUAGACAGAGAGAUGAGUGCAUCGAUGCGGCUCCUCAUACUUGGCAGUGUGAUGCAAGGAUUGAAAAAGCAAAUCUAGUUGCUGGGAAAUUCUUCUUUCUGGGUCUGCUAAAGUCAAAAAAGCAAGUCAAUUUGAACAAGGUGGAUGAAGCACAAGGGUCGAGUCACUCCGAAGAACGCCAUUCUCUCGACUGAGAGGAACGUCUUUCAGUCGAGUUUGUGUUCACAACCUCUCCUUUUAGUCGAGUUACUAAAGUACCUCUCUAGACAAUCACUACGUACCUCGAGUUGUAUAACCUGCCCCUUCCUUUAACUACCAAAUCUGCCAUCUCGCAUACCACGACCAUUCUCUCCUACCACCAAUCUGACCAUAACCCAUUCUCUGUGUAUUGAAGGCUAAUAAAUGAGCAGCUGAUGUUUCAUAGGUUUGAUGUCUGAGUUCUCUUUGAGACACUACAUCACUAUUAGGUAGGUACUGGAGGACGAUUUCAUAGACCUUUGUAUAGCUGUUGAAAAAGCCUCAUAGUCCUUACCAAGUCCUUGCAGCAACUUCAUAGGUUCGGAUACUGCUUUGCCGAUUGAGCUAAGCUGGUAAGGUAACAUAUAUGUUUAAACUGACUGAGAGAGUCUUCUCCAUGCUUUUUCCAUCCUUUCUUAUCAUUUGCAGAGAGCUAGCUUAUUAGCAAAGAAAAGUCACGAGAGAUAGAACAAUGAUUGAAAUGAUCAGCCAAAGAGAGACCUCCUGAGCUGUUGCAAGUCCAAAUACAUAUCCAAUAGCUUCUUCAGAGAGAGUACAAAAAAUCCAGGACUUUCAGAGUUGAUCGGUGCCAGGCAUCAUAGUCUGGGAAUCUCCUCUUCUGCAUGGCUAAAGGUGAGGUUGCUGUAUUUGGUCCACCAGAAUUUACUGGCCCAUUUAAGCCUAGUGGAAAGGGAGGGAUAUAUAAAGAAUCUGAUGGUUCCUUCUCUUAGCGUCAGUGAACCAAGUUCAGUGAUCUAAUCAGCCACGAAAAGUAAGAAAAAAGGAACUUUUGAGCUCGUCAACCACUUCGGUGAAGGAAUGGGAAUAGACCCGAUCUGGUUGUUGGUUUCAAACCCUCUUAGAUGGAGCCUCAACAGCAGCUAGGUCUAGAGGGAAGUUGUGAGCAUUACGUUCAUGCAUAACUUCCAUACCAAGGUUAGCACGGUUAAUAAUAUCAGCCCAAGUAUUAAUAACACGCCCUUGACUAUCAACUACUGAUUGGUUGAAAUUGAAACCAUUUAGGUUGAAAGCCAUAGUGCUAAUACCUAAAGCAGUAAACCAAAUACCUACUACCGGCCAAGCCGCUAAGAAGAAAUGUAAAGAACGAGAAUUAUUGAAACGGAAGAUCAAUCGGCCAAAAUAACCAUGAGCAGCUAAAAUGUUGUAAGUUUCUUCUUCUUGACCGAAUCUGUAACCUUCAUUAGCAGAUUCAUUUUCUGUGGUUUCCCUGAUCAAACUAGAAGUUACCAAGGAACCAUGCAUAGCACUAAAUAGGGAGCCGCCGAAUACACCAGCUACACCUAACAUGUGAAAUGGGUGCAUAAGAAUGUUGUGCUCAGCCUGGAAUAAUCAUUAGAAGCAUGUACCGGACACCUCACCUAUUGUUGUCUACUGGCGGCCACUUGUCAUAAAAAGAAAAGAAAGAGCACGCCGUAAGCGCACGAAACUAUGAGCUCCUAACUACUGUGUAAUCAAUAUCUCCUUACCCCCAUGCAUACUAAAACUAAAAGAAUAGGACAAGGAAGUGACAUAUAAUACUAAUAUAAUAGAAAGCUGGUAUUCAAUUAGCUAGAGAGGGAGACAGGGCUAAGGCAGAUGUUAGUCUAAUCUUCCUUAUAAUGGCUUGUGCAAUUGAAGUUUGGUUUUAUACUAAGGAAGAUGGCAUAGAAUGUGCUGUUGUCGCAUGAAUAGAAAUAGGUUGUUCAAGAAGUGGUUGCAUAUAGUUGAAGGGGGCUUGUAUGAAGAAGAAAAGGCGUUCCUCGGAGCUGUUGAGUCAGAUGUGGCAUUAGACUGUUUUCAAAUAGGUUCUUCUCGAAGUGGUCAUUAGUAAGCCAAGGAACUGAUAGACCCAAGGCAAAGAGUCCGUUCAUGGUAUAAGUCCUUUCCACUAAGAAUGCCGACUUUCCUAAAACGAUUGGAACUAGGGAAAGGGGAGAAGGCAGAAGGUAAGAGAAAAGGGAGAGGGUAGAGUGGCCGAGUGGUCAAAAGCGGCAGACUGUAAAUCUGUUGAAGUUUUUCUACGUAGGUUCGAAUCCUGCCUCUCCCACUUGUUGUAGUUUUAGCAUGUAUAUGUGAAAAAAGGAGAUUUUCUUUCGUAGAAUAACUCUUUCACUCGGUAAGUUCCGUUGGACCGCUACGCGCCUUUUCAGUCGAGUUACUAAAGUACCUCUCGCAUCAAGUGCUCGAUUCAUGACUUCGCCCUCUCCUUUCAGUCGAGUUGCUAAAGCACCUCUCCUUUGCUGUUCGAGUAAACAAGAAAUGCUCGAGUUACUAAAUACCUAAGGGGCCCCUCUCUGAUAAGGAAAGAAACGAAAGAAUCUCAAAUUGAUGAAAAAUCUGGUUCGAUGGCUGUUCUCUACAAAGCACAAGGUUCGACUAUUGUUGCUCCUGCUCGGUAGUUCCGUAGCAGGUUUUUUCUGACGUUUUCUAGGAUCAGAACCCGCGCCUGUGCGACAUAUUUCUUAAGUAUAAUAUGUCGUGGUCAUGAUCUUUUGGCGGCAUUUGCUUCUCCCUCAUACGAGGUCAUCCAAUUAACCCGCAUUCAAGCCGAAGACCUCUUCGAGGUCAAGGUCGAGAUUGUGAAGAUCAUGGCUCUAUAUGAUCCAAGAGGAGAUUGGAUGGGGCGGGGAGCUCGGGCUCUAGAUAAUCCGAGAACCGCCACGGGAGAAGAAUCGAAUCCUUAGAUCGGCUUUACCCUAUUUUAAGCGAUCUCCAAGAUACGGGACCUCUCUCAAACGAGUUUUCGCGGUUACAAGAUCUAGUAGUUCUAAAACCAAAAUAGAAAAGAUAUGCGUAUAGAUAUAAUAGAUAAAGGGUGCAGUGAGGGA
rnacentral:lncRNA from 1 species